UAGGGAAUCUUCCACAAUGGACGCAAGUCUGAUGGAGCAACGCCGCGUGAGUGAAGAAGGUUUUCGGAUCGUACAGCUCUGUUGUUGGUGAAGAAGGAUAGAGGUAGUAACUGGCCUUUAUUUGACGUUAAUCAACCAGAAAGUCACGGCUAACUACGUGCCAGCAGCCGCGGUAAUACGUAGGUGGCAAGCGUUGUCCGGAUUUAUUGGGCGUAAAGCGAGCGCAGGCGGAAGAAUAAGUCUGAUGUGAAAGCCCUCGGCUUAACCGAGGAACUGCAUCGGAAACUGUUUUUCUUGAGUGAUGAAGGGGAGGGUGGAAUUCCAUGUGUGGCGGUGGAAUACGUAGAUAUAUGGAAGAACACCGGUGGCGAAGGCGGCUCUCUGGUCUGCAACUGACGCUGAGGCUCGAAAGAAUGGGUAGCGAGCAGG
rnacentral:rRNA from 1 species